CUGGGCGGAAGGAGGCUAUCUGGUAGGCUAUCUAGAAGCUCAUCUUUGUGUUAUUGGAGAAACACUCUCCCUCUUGACAGGAUAUAGUCUGGUUAUCACAUAAUCUUCUCAGGUUUCAUUCUCAUUCUGUGCUUACAAAUACCCCAAAUAUAAAGAGAUGCAUUUCAUUAAGACAGCAUUUUAAGAGGCAGUUAAUCCCAGCUGUUGCCGUCUAUCUUAAACACCUACCUUUUCACCCUAGUGUGGAGUUUACAUGUCGAUAAGGGAUGUGAAAAAGGGAACCGCAGAAAUCUCGGCAAAGGCAAAACACCAAGGCUGCCUGUGGGAAUUGGAGUCAGAGAAAGAGCCCGGGAAGCUUUAAGUUCCAGAACGGCCCCUGGUACAAUACUUGCCUGCCUUGGGGCUUUGGGCUGACCCCAGACACCGAGGACUGUAAACACUUUUCCAGUCACAUAAACGGAAGGAUUCUGUGCCUGCUACUUCGGCAUUUUCUCCUUAAGAGACCUGUGGCAAAACAAGUGAAAAACACAGGUAGGAACCUGAGAGCCAGACCCCGAAGUUUUCAGCUGACUCACCGAUUCUCUUUGCUGGCACUGCCCGUUCCCAUCAAGGAUGAAUUCUCAACACCCGAUCUCACUACACGAGUGUGAAAACCUGCUUCAAAGUCAUCACCAGCGUCACCAUGAGCCAAAACAGACCUCCUGAGGCCAACCCUUUUUGUCCCUUUCCUGUGCACCAUGAGUCCCAUUGCCUUCAUCACCCAAGUGACAGCCUGGCCUUGUGAUUUAUGAGCAUGGUGUCUCUGUGGCUGGGCUCUGAGUGUCUGCACCCUGGGUUUCUGGGAACCUCGUGCAACGGUGAGCCCACUGCAGGGGCUUGAAAAGUAUCUGUUGACCAUCUGACAGGGUGAAUGAAUGACGUGGAGUCACGUUGCAACAGAUCCUGCUAUGGAAUCACCUGGAGAUCUCCAACUAAGAGCACAGAAGACGGGCGAGCAACUCAGCCCCUUGAAGGCACAGCAUUCAGCAAAGGCAUCCCUUGGGGAAGGAAAGCAGGGGCUGCAACACCUGGCGUAUGAUCACGAUGAGGCCUUGGAGAAAUCCCAAAGAGAUCUGCUCUCAGUUACACGGUUAUUUGGUUGGGUUUUACUUCUUGUUCAUCUAGCCAUCCGCCAACGCUUCAUGAGUAGCUUUUAACAUUUAACAAAUGAGAAAACUGGAAUAGGGAAGAGUUUAGAAUUUGAGAUUAUUACUUACACUUUUGGAGAGUUCAAAAAUUUCCUUUUGUGCAAUCUUAUUUAAUCAUAAUAAUAAUCCUAUAAGAUGGUGCUCUUAAAGACUACUAUUAGUUUGGUUGAGUUAGAAAAAGGCUGAGAGAGGCUAGAAUUUCAAUAUUGUCCUGCCUCUGUUCCUAGAUAUAUAUAUGCUGAAGCCAAGUGACGGCGAAUUCAAAGCCUCUGUUAGCACAAGGCUUUUGCCUCUGAAUACCCGUGCGUCCCCCCGGGAGCCAGGCUGGACUGCUGGGAGGGCUCCUUGUGACCAGGCAGAAACAGCAAUGCCAUAAGUAGGCCAAGGCUCUUUCUCAGUGCUUGCCAGCAAGCUGCACUUAAUUCUCAGCCCUCUGUUCUCCUGCUCUGAGUCCAAGGAGAGAAUGGUCCAAGAAAAUGGGAGAUAAGCAAAGGAGAGGAAAAGGAGACUCCUUUUAAGCCUAGAGCCGACUUGGCUCUUUUCAUCUCCUCAGAGCAGAACAGCUCCAAGAAUCCAAGAAGCUUGAGUAGCCUGGGGCAGCCCUGAGUCUCUGGCCCUGAAGGGUUUGCAAUUGAAAAAGAUCAGUAUUCUUUGGAGAGUGAGACUGUCUUUACAGCUCAGCACUCGGCCCAGGGAUAGGUCCUUGAUUCAUCCCUAUCUGCCCUCAUCUUCCUUGGGGAAUAGAUGGGAAGGGAUAAAGGAAGAGAAGAUGGUAGACGAGAGCCUCCUAAUGGGAUAAGAAUCAUGCCUGUACUAUAGCUGAGAUACUAAGACUCAGAGGUCAAGUGGCCUCUCCUCCAUCACGCAGCUGGGCAGAGCUAGACCCAGUACAAGAAUUCAUCCACUCAAGGCUUCUGUUUGAUGCUCAGGGCCGCACAUGGUCCCAUGCCGCUCUUCCCGCUGAGACCGCCCACACCCAGCAUGCUGUGCACACUGGGCCGCUGCCACUCAGGAACUGUGAAAUGCAGUGGAGGGAACUGUGAUUGUAGUUCCUUUACACAGAGGAGUUAAAAAGCACUGA
rnacentral:lncRNA from 1 species